UGUCAAAAAAGCAAUUUUCAAUAUUCUCAACUCUCCUUGAAAAGUAAAAUAAAACCCUUCCAAAACCAAACUUUCCAACCCUCAGGUUUUUCUUCUCGCUUUCUCUCUAAAAACCAAAACACACAACAAAUUUAAAAUUCAAGGGUUUACAAUCUAAAUUUCCUUCCAUCAUGGCUUCCAAUUUGCAAAACGAUUUUCUUCCUGCUGUUAUGUAUCUCUAUAAUCGAUGAUCAUGAUUAUAUCGUUAUUGUGUUUUUGUUACCAAUUCUUUACUAUUGCUUCAACAUUCGUAGUUUGAUCUAAUGAAGCACAUACACUUCUCGGAUUAGGUGUGUUGCGGUGUCCGACACGACAUCCACAUGUAAUACCCUGAAUUUUGUGAUUUUUUCAAAUUAUUAGCGGCGUCGGUGUGUCAGUUUCAGUGUCGGUUUUUGCUUGAGUUAUUACCUAUAUUUAAAAAUUCGUAGUCACUAAACAACCAGAACAAUUACCUGAUUGAGCCUGAAAAGAGGUAAGGCUUAACAAACCAUCACCUCAACAAUUACCGAAACACGGUGGCAUUGUAACAGAAACGGCUAGUUCGCCGGAGAAGGCAAACCACAAGACAGUAACUCGACCCAAAAGUGGUUUAGGAGAAUUGAUCAGAUGUGUUGGUUUAGAUAGUAGAUCAUCAGCAGAGAACAAAAAUUCCAAAGAAGAAUCGUCGAAAAAAGAAUAAAAGUUCCAAAAAUAAAUCAUCCUCCACAGUUACUCCUGGACAUUUUGAUUUCUCAGCUCUGCUCAAUGAUCCAAAUAUCAGGAAACUGGCUGAACAGCUUCAGGAAACUUUGCAUGAAGCACCACAGGAUGAUCUCCCAAAUUCUCGUGAUCCGAAGUAUGCUUCAACCAUGCUACAGAUCAGAAAGAAUCUUGAUCUUAAAACCAUGGUCAGGCGCCUGAUUUGUGCUUUGAUGCAGGACCCUUCAUUGUCUUCCAUGGUGGAAAUUUAUACCGAUCCGUCCCUUGAAGGCCAGCGUAAACGUAGAACGGCACACUUGAACAAAGAUCCAUGUUUGAAACUUAUUUUAGAUGAGAUAGAGAAUGGUGGUCCUGCUGUAAUGAUGAGUUGUGCUGUUGGAAAUUGGAGGAACGGUGCCAGCAACCGAGUGUCUCCCCAAUCAUCAUCAAAUCUCAAAUGCAAAUAGAGAGCAUACUCGAAGAGCAUUCUUUGAUUGAAUUCAUGCUCAAACUCAAUCAACUGGAUCUUCUCUUUAGACGUUAUCCUCGUGGGCCUGUUCCUUAUUAUUGGUACGGCUAUGUGAGGGCUCAAACUCCGAGGGUUAGAUCAUCUUUAACUUCUACCCACGACCUACCUUACCAAGAAA